rnacentral:lncRNA from 1 species
UAACAACACACAACAUUCCAGGAAUGUACUACCAAAGUUCUAUCAAUAUUUGAAUGUCCUGGACAUUUAGGGAACAUUCGGUGAACAUCUGUUUAAAUUAUUCCUGGAAUGUUACCAUAAGACAUUCUGUGAACAUACUACCAAUGUUCCUAUAUUUUAAGUUGCGAAAUAAUACAUACGUGUAACAGAUACAACAUUACUUAUAACAUACCAGACAAACUAAGUGACACUUUAGGCCUACAGUGCAAUAAUAUGUCAAAUUUAAAGAGUUUCCCAAGUUCAAUUAAUACAAAUUAUAAACAUACAAAUAUAAUAAAAAUUAUUGUUCGCGAAUAUUCAAUUUGGAAUGCGAUUUUGUUAAUAAAAAAAAUACUUAUAACUUAUGCAAAACCCAAGAGAGGCAUUUAUAUUUAUUUCUUUUGCGUUCAUUUUCAAAUUCGCCGUGCAUAUAUUUUUGUGCAUGGCGCUUGAGAGGGCAUCACGUGACUAAAAACGACCAACCAACGACCUCGUUUCGGCCAUCUUGGCAUCUUCAUCUUGGCCACCUUGCCACCUUCACCUUGCUUUGCCGUGGGUGGAUGGUUGUUUGUAUUAUUUUUGUGCCUUUUAAGAAUAUUUUUUUAAUUCGGAUACUUUUAUAAUAGCUUUAAUAGUAUUAUUAACAUAGUGAAUAAAAUGGUGUCCUGUUUUUAACGCAGUUGGAGUAGCAGAAACAAAUGUAGAUAAAAAAAUCUGCAGGAAUAACGUUUCAAUUAUGACAGAAGCUCCAAACAAAUGACUGUGAAUGAAAAGCCCUAUUAAAAGCUUUCCAGAAGAUCCUGCGAAGAAGACAUGAAGUAUAGAUCAGAUUUGUUAAUAGAGGAGUAUGUUCAAAACACUUUUUAGAAAAAGAUAUUGACAGAACUUCACUUUCAUCUGUUCGUUUAAGAGACUGUGCUGUUCCAAUAGCUUAUGUCACACAGAAUCAGCUGAGAGAAGUGGUCUACAAAAAACCAGAAAGGAAACGGAAUAUGUGGCUACGAAAAGCAAAAGAAAGGUUUACAAAGCAAAUGUGACACAUUUUUUUAUAAUAUUUAGGAAUGUCAGUAAAUUACAUUAAAAAAUGUAUGUAAAGAUUUUUUGCAAUAAAAAUGUUUAUAUUUA